rnacentral:rRNA from 1 species
CGCAUUAGCUAGUUGGUGAGGUAACGGCUCACCAAGGCGACGAUGCGUAGCCGACCUGAGAGGGUGAUCGGCCACACUGGAACUGAGACACGGUCCAGACUCCUACGGGAGGCAGCAGUAGGGAAUCUUCCGCAAUGGACGAAAGUCUGACGGAGCAACGCCGCGUGAGUGAUGAAGGUCUUCGGAUCGUAAAGCUCUGUUGUUAGGGAAGAACAAAUGUGUAAGUAACUGUGCACAUCUUGACGGUACCUAACCAGAAAGCCACGGCUAACUACGUGCCAGCAGCCGCGGUAAUACGUAGGUGGCAAGCGUUAUCCGGAAUUAUUGGGCGUAAAGCGCGCGUAGGCGGUUUUUUAAGUCUGAUGUGAAAGCCCACGGCUCAACCGUGGAGGGUCAUUGGAAACUGGAAAACUUGAGUGCAGAAGAGGAAAGUGGAAUUCCAUGUGUAGCGGUGAAAUGCGCAGAGAUAUGGAGGAACACCAGUGGCGAAGGCGGCUUUCUGGUCUGCAACUGACGCUGAUGUGCGAAAGCGUGGGGAUCAAACAGGAUUAGAUACCCUGGUAGUCCACGCCGUAAACGAUGAGUGCUAAGUGUUAGGGGGUUUCCGCCCCUUAGUGCUGCAGCUAACGCAUUAAGCACUCCGCCUGGGGAGUACGGUCGCAAGACUGAAACUCAAAGGAAUUGACGGGGACCCGCACAAGCGGUGGAGCAUGUGGUUUAAUUCGAAGCAACGCGAAGAACCUUACCAAAUCUUGACAUCCUUUGACCGCUCUAGAGAUAGAGUUUUCCUCUUCGGAGGACAAAGUGACAGGUGGUGCAUGGUUGUCGUCAGCUCGUGUCGUGAGAUGUUGGGUUAAGUCCCGCAACGAGCGCAACCCUUAAGCUUAGUUGCCAUCAUUAAGUUGGGCACUCUAGGCUGACUGCCGGUGACAAACCGGAGGAAGGUGGGGAUGACGUCAAAUCAUCAUGCCCCUUAUGAUUUGGGCUACACACGUGCUACAAUGGACAAUACAAAGGGCAGCGAAACCGCGAGGUCAAGCCAAUCCCAUAAAGUUGUUCUCAGUUCGGAUUGUAGUCUGCAACUCGACUACAUGAAGCUGGAAUCGCUAGUAAUCGUAGAUCAGCAUGCUACGGUGAAUACGUUCCCGGGUCUUGUACACACCGCCCGUCACACCACGAGAGUUUGUAACACCCGAAGCCGGUGGAGUAACCAUUU